UGUAUGCAUCACGUUAUCAAUUUCGUAGGUGAUUAUUUGUAAUUCGUAAGCAAGACUGGCAAGUACGAUUUCCUGUGGAAUCACUGAUUGUAACACGGAACUUUUUGGUACGUUUUGUUUUUAGAGUUUUUUUCAGCUAUGUCUCAACCUGAAAAACCUGAGUAUGUAAUUUUUGAAGAAGGCAAACACCGAUUGUGGUCCUACAACAGUAAUAAAGGAGGAAGUUGCCUUAGUUUAUCUGUGAAAAAGAAUGUUUCCAUAGGUAAAGUAAAAGCGAAUGGAGAAUCUGAAGGUAUAAUUUUUCUUGGUAUUGUCACGGCAUUUACAUUAGCUUCACAUAAAUCAAUCUAGUAGACAUUUUAUUUCUUGUUAUUACCAAUGCAAAUUUAUACAAACAUAAAACAUGCACCGUUGUUUGAUAUUUAUUAUUCAAAGGAAUACCUGACAUAUUAUAAAGUAGGCAUGGUGUGUAACAAAUAGUAAUUUUUAGAGCACUAAAUUUUCAAGUGCUAAAACGAUAUGCAAUGUUCAAUUAUAUACAUCUCAAAAAGGGACAUACUAAUUUUGAGUUUCUUCAUUUUUAAAUCAGAAUUGUGACCAGGGAUAUACCGGGCGGAAAGCGAACUUUAAAUAUAAAUAUCAAAACCCAGCAAAGUGCUUUUAAAAGAGCCAUUUAAAGCAUAGAAAGAAAUAUUUAUUUAAAGUGUAACGUUUCGUCUUGACUCUCAAGACAUCAUCAGACAAUAUUGAAUUACAAGUAUAGAGGGAUAUAUAUAAUAGCUAUUUACAUAAUAUUAAAUUACAUGGUGGGAUGAAAACGUGUUAGUAAAUAUUGGAUAAGAUGGUAUGACGUGGGAUAAGUAGAAACGC